rnacentral:rRNA from 1 species
AUCAUUAACUAAAUCUGCGGACGAAUGUCUGCAUAAACCUUGUGAAUUGGCACUGCUUUGCGGUGUUUAAGUAAACCUUAAACGAGACAUUAAAUAAUAUACAAAUAUUAAUAACUUUUAACAACGGAUCUCAAGGCUCUUGCAACGAUGAAGAACGCAGCGAAAUGCGAUAAGUAAUGUGAAUUGCAGAAUUCAGUGAAUCAUCGAAUCUUUGAACGCGCAUUGCGCCCGGUGGCAUUCCGCCGGGCAUGCCUGUUCGAGCGUCAUUUAAACCAAUCCAGCCUCGUGCUUGGGUCUUGGGCCUUUCGCCUUCGGGCGGGCCUCAAAAUCAGUGGCGGUGCCGUCUGGCUCUAAGCGUAGUAAUACUCCUCGCUAUAGACGUCCGGUGGUGGCUUGCCAACAACCCCCAAUUUUAUCAGGUUGACC